AAUUAUAAAAUAACACGUGUAUUCAUGUUUAUGUUCAUGCAAUUUAAUAAUAAUAUUUUAUCACAGGAUUCCCGGGUGUUAUUGGUUGUGUAGAUGGAACAAUGAUAAAAAUUGUAUCCCCGUCAGAAAAUGAAGCAGAUUAUUUAUGCCGUAAAGGCUUUUAUGCGCUCAAUGUACAGAUGACAUGUGAUCCUCAGUUUAGAGUGUUGGAUGUCGUUGCAAAGUGGCCAGGAAGUGUGCACGAUGUUCGGAUUUUCAGGGAAUCCAACUUAUGCACACUUAUGGAAGAAGGCAUGUGGAAAUUCUGUACCAAGAUGUCCUGUAUUUUUUAAUUCUUGAUACACUGUGUAUGAGAUAUUUCACGAAGUACAAGCUGAAAUUUCAAUGAGUAAUUAUUUUAAAUAUAUUGAUAAACAGGGCAUCUAUCGGGCUUUCUACUAGGAGAUUCUGGAUACGGCCUGAAACCUUAUCUCUUGACCCCGUAUAUAGCGGAAGAUGCUCCUGGAAACAGACGCUAUAAUGCAGCACAUUGUAGAACAAGAGUCACGAUUGAGCAAACAUUUGGAAUUUUGAAAAAGAGAUUUCAUGCCCUCCACUGUGGCCUUCGGACCAAGCCUGAAAGAGCGUGCAGAAUAGUGACAGCAUGUGCUAUUCUCCACAACAUAGGUAUUCAACGGAGGGACAUUCUGAGAGACUCAGACUUGACGAAUGCAGUUGAUGUGGCCGUGGACGUCCACGUUAGGGUUCCAGAAGACGCUGUAGGACGCACCGUGAGGGACCACGUGAGAGAUACAUACUUCUUAUGAGUACGUUUCUAUGCAAAGUCAACAUCUUAGAAUUUUAAUUAUAAAAUUACAGUUUACAAUUUACUACUUUAUGUACCGGUACCUUAUACAUAUUACUAACAUGGUGAAUUGAUUAAUGAAUAAUUAUAACUAGAGGUACUGUGAGCAAGCUCACAAUUGAUACCCCCCGCUAAGAAAAAAAUCAUAACGCGUGUAUUUUUGCUAUAAUAUAGAAAAUAUUGGAUGAAUCUAUUUCACUGUCCAUAUUCUAUCAAUAACAACUGCUUUAUUUUUGAAAACUGUUAAUUUCUAGCUUCUAAUAUUUCCAUUAAUACAAAACAUGACACAGACAGAAUUUAGCUUUUUUGAAACGACCUUGAACUUUCUCAAUUGACCUUGGGUCAAGGUCAUGACACACCCUUUAAUCAUAAGCAAUCUUUGUGUGAAGUAAGAACUUCCAAUGUUUCCCCAUAAGAAAGAUAUGGACCGGACACGAAUUUUGCAUUUUUUUUUGCCAGUGACCUUGCCCUUGCCCGAAUGACCUUGGGUCAAGGUCAUGACACACCCUUAGGUCAUAAGCAAUCUUUGUGUGAAGUAAGAACUUCCAAUGUUUCUCCAUAAGAAAGAUAUGGACCAGACACGAUUGCACAGACAGACGGACGGACAGACAAGGUGAUUCCUAUAUACCCCCCCAAACUUUGUUUGCGGGGGGUAUAAUAAUAAUGAAUUAAUGAAUGUCAGGAAUUUUCACUGACUACAAAUAAAUACAACAAUUGGUGCUAAAAUAAUCAUUGAUGAUAACAUUUAAUAGAGUUGAAAGCAAUCAGAUAAAGCAACUUACGUAUAUACAUGUAGUCACAUAUAUCCACCAUUCAAUCAAAUACAUGGACAUGUAAACUACUUAAACAUUAAACAAGCAAUACAACGCAUCAUCUCAACUUGUUAAAAUAAUAUCAUUGUCAAAUAUAUAUAAAAGAUGAAACAAUUAUUCUUACUUACAACUUUCAUAUAAUUCUUACUGGUAUUACAAACUACAGUGAAUAAAUCAUACUGGCAUAAACUUGAAUACUCGUAUUGCUAAAAGUGCAAUGUAUCACAAUCAUAUCAUAUUUAACAUUCUUCAGUGGACAGUGACUUAAAAUGCACACAUCAUUAAGAACAAAACUGACUUAUUUUCAAAGAGGAAGCUUAUCAUCCAAAGCUUAGAGUGGCAUAAUAUAUUUUGAAUAGUAAUAAUUAAUAAGAGGCCCAUGGGCCACAUUGCUCACCUGUGCAAUAUAAAUAGCUAUUACUUUAAGUAUGCUUUAUGGGAUCCAAUACAAAAUACUCAACGUAUAAUUACAUGUUUAGGUCUUGUUUACAAAGACGAUCAAAUAUUUCUUCACAAAUUUCUAUGUUAAACAUUAAGCCCCUUUCAUUGUUUCAUAUGUCAGAAGAAGAUAUUAUAACAUUUUGUCUUCUAUCCUAUAAAAAAAUUCAUCACCUUUAUGACACCACCUUAUGCAUAUUAUAUGAAAAUCAUAGUUUUCCUUCUUGGAUACUGUUUUGACACUAUAUCAUAUGUUAAAAGCUGGUAUGAUAAUCAUAUGUUCAUUUCAUACAGUAUUAUAAGAUACAAUGUUUAUCAAUACAAUAAUAUAAAAUACAAUAUUGCAUCCUUUGAUUCUUACAAUAUAACAUAAAUUGGGGCAGUUUACGCUUUAUAAACCGCGAAUAUGAUACAAUAUAGUAUUAUACGAUACAAUAUCAUAUCACAAAAUACAUCAAAAUAUUUACUUUCAGCUUUCAGCUCAGGUGAGCUAAAAAAGCUAUUAUCUAUAAAACAUUUGACCUGUUCCAAAAAACUUAACCUCCUCCAGCAUC